CUCUUUAGCUUGGCAUUUGAAUCGGCUUUGCUGUUGCGAAGUAGAGUGGCGGCUUCGGCUGCCGUGGGUCGAUCCAUUUGGGAAAUGUUGUGUACUUCGGUAUGCAUCUCAAUUGGACCUGAUAUCAGGCAAGAUUACCCGCUGAACUUAAGCAUAUUAAUAAGCGGAGGAAAAGAAACUAACAAGGAUUCCCCUAGUAACGGCGAGUGAAGCGGGAAGAGCUCAAGCUUAAAAUCUCCGUGCAAGUUUUGCGCGGCGAAUUGUAGUCUAUAGAGGCGUGAUCAGUGUGGGCGCUUGGGGCAAGUUCCUUGGAAGAGGACAGCAUGGAGGGUGAUACUCCCGUUCAUCCCUGAGUUGCUCGUGCGUACGAUCCGUUUUCUUUGAGUCGCGUUGUUUGGGAAUGCAGCGCAAAGUAGGUGGUAAAUUCCAUCUAAAGCUAAAUAUUGGUGCGAGACCGAUAGCGAACAAGUACCGUGAGGGAAAGAUGAAAAGAACUUUGAAAAGAGAGUUAAAGAGUACCUGAAACUGCUGAAAGGGAACCGAAUCGUUUCCAGUGUCUAUAAUCCGUGGUAUAUUUCAUUGGCGAGUGUGUGCGUGCGUGUGCUGUGGCAGCGGCUUUUUUGGCUGCGCUCGGCGUGUGUGCUGUGUGUGCUUGCUGGUGCCCUGUGCUGCGGUGGGACGUCAAGGUCAGUUCGUAUGCUGCGGGAAAUGGCCGCCGAGGAGGUAGGGCUUACGCUUGCGUUUGUCUGUUAUAUCUUGGUGGACGAGUAGUCGCGGUUGGGACUGAGGUGCCUACAACGUGUUUUUGAGUGGGCCUGUGUCUCUGUGUGCGCCGUGUGCGGAUAGCUUGCUAUGCGUGUGUGGUUGUGUGUGGAUUGAU